UGCACUUGUAUAUGUUUUUGUUUAACUUGAAGACAAAGACUGACACACAGGUACAAAAAAUAGAUUAUCUUUUGCCACCCAGAAUUCAUUGAUCAGUGUGAGUUUUGAUACAUAAAAGCAGGGCUAGG
ensembl:snoRNA